CCCUUAGAUGUUCUGGGCCGCACGCGCGCUACACUGAUGCAUUCAACAAGCCUAGCCUUGACCGAGAGGUCCGGGUAAUCUUUGAAACUGCAUCGUGAUGGGGCUAGAUUAUUGCAAUUAUUAAUCUUCAACGAGGAAUGCCUAGUAAGCGUGAUUCAUCAAAUCGCGUUGAUUACGUCCCUGCCCUUUGUACACACCGCCCGUCGCUCCUACCGAUUGAAUGGUCCGGUGAGGCUUUGGGAUCUGAGCGGAAAGAGCGUUUCGCUGUUUCUGCCCGGAAAACUCAGUCGAACCUUAUCAUUUAGAGGAAGGAGAAGUCGUAACA
rnacentral:rRNA from 1 species